UACGUAGGGGGCAAGCGUUGUCCGGAAUCAUUGGGCGUAAAGAGCGCGUAGGCGGCCCAGUAAGUCCGCUCUGAAAGUCAGGGGCUCAACCCCUGAAUGCGGGUGGAUACUGCUGGGCUAGAGUCCGGAAGAGGCGAGUGGAAUUCCUGGUGUAGCGGUGAAAUGCGCAGAUAUCAGGAGGAACACCAAUGGCGAAGGCAGCUCGCUGGGACGGUACUGACGCUGAGGAGCGAAAGCGUGGGGAGCGAACAGG
rnacentral:rRNA from 1 species